GCACCUUGAAGCCUCACCACCACCACCCCCGCCCCGGCAAGAACAGUGGACACAGGAGACCUUUCCACAGAAAUGCCCAGACACACAGCAAACGCUUUUUAAUCCAACAGCCGCAAUGGCAGAGGAGAUAUUAGUUUCCUACACACCAGCUGCCACUAAUGACCCUGACGGCUUCCCUCACCUAUGCUGGGUCUGGUCUCCCCUCUGUCCUAUGAUUAGGUACAAGGACAGCCACUGCCACUCUUUUCUUUUCUUUUCUUUCUCUCUCUUUCUUUCUCUUUCUCUUUUUCUUUCUUUCUUUCUUCUUUCCUUUCUUUCUUUCUUUCUUUCCUCUCUAUUUCUUUUCUUUUUUGUUUUCAGGGUCUCAUUUUGUCACCCAGGCUGGAGUGCCAUGGUGCAAUCUCAGCUCACUGCAGCCUCGACUUCCUGAGCUAAAGAGAUCCUCUCGCCUCAGCUGCACAAGUAGCUGAGACUACAGACCCAUGCCAUACACCCAGCUAAUUUUUUUUUCUUUUUUUUGAGACAGAGUCUGGCUCUUGUUGCCUAGGCUGGAGUGCAGUGGCCUGAUCUCAGCUCACUGCAACCUCUGCCUCCCAGGCUCAAGCAAUUCUCCUGCUUCAGCCUCCUGAGUAGCUGGUAUUACAGGCAUGUGUCACAACGCCUGACUAAUUUGUGCACUUUUAGUACAGACGGGGUUUCCCCAUGUUGGCCAGGCUGGUCUUGAAAUCCUGACCUCGGGUGAUCCGCCCGCCUCGGCCUCCCAAAGUGCUGAGCCACCACGCCCGGCUGUUUUUGUUUUGUUUUGUUUUGUUUUGUUCUUGUUUGUUUGUUUUGUAUUUUUGGUAGAGAUGGGGUUUCAUUAUGUUGUCCAGGCUGGUCUCAAACUCCUGGACUCAGGCGAUCCAGGUGCUGGGAUUACAAGCCUCCCAAAGUGCUGGGAUUACAAGAGUGAGCCACCACAUCUGGCCGAUUGCCACUUUCUUUCUUUUUUUGAGACAGAGUCUUGCUCUGUCGCCCAGGCUGGAGGGCAAUUGUGCAAUCUCAGCUCACUGCAAUGUCUGCCUCCCAGGUUCAAGCGAUUCUCCUGCCUCAGCCUCCUGAGUAGCUAGGAUUACAGGCAUGCACCACCACCACCACCACGCCCAGCUAAUUUUUUGUAUUUUUAGUGGAGAUGGGGUUUCAUGGUGUUAGCUAGAAUGGUCUCGAUCUCCUAACCUCGUGAUCUGCCUGCCUCAGCCUCCCAAAGUAUUGGGAUUACAGGCGUGAGCCACCACACCCGGCCCAAUUGCCCCUUUCUUUAGCAAAGUUCCCAUGCUGGAAAUCACCUUACCAUAGGUGUCCCUGGUAGGAGAAAGUUCCAUGAGACUGAGUGAAAUUGGAGGGUAAAAUAUCACAAGAUACCCACAAAGAGCUGUGUGCAUGAAUGAGUUCACAGUUGCUCCAACUGCAAUUGCCAAAUGUCCAUCAACUGGUAAAUGUAUAAACACACUGUGGCCCAUCAAUACAAUGGAAUACUACACAGCAAUGAAAAAGGACUGCACUUUAGAAACAUGGCUGUUGUUGGCCGGGCGUGGUGGCUCAUGCCGGUAAUCCCAGCACUUUGGGAG
rnacentral:lncRNA from 10 species